rnacentral:rRNA from 1 species
UACAGAGGUCUCAAGCGUUGUUCGGAUUCAUUGGGCGUAAAGGGUGCGUAGGUGGCGCUGUAAGUCGGGUGUGAAAUUUCGGAGCUUAACUCCGAAACUGCAUUCGAUACUGCGGUGCUUGAGGACUGGAGAGGAGACUGGAAUUCAUGGUGUAGCAGUGAAAUGCGUAGAGAUCAUGAGGAAGACCAGUGGCGAAGGCGGGUCUCUGGACAGUUCCUGACACUGAGGUGCGAAAGCGUGGGGAGCAAACAGG